rnacentral:rRNA from 1 species
AUGCUGCCUAGAAAAGCCCAGUAGCGAGUUGACAUGGUGCCCGUACCCCAAACCAACACAGGUGGACAGGUAGAGCAUACCAAGGCGAGUGGGAUAACUAUGGUUAAGGAACUCGGCAAAUUUCCUCCGUAACUUCGGGAUAAGGAGGACCCCAGUAGCGUGACGAGACUUGCUCUCCGAGCGUGAAGGGGUGGCACAAAAUUGAGGGAAGCGACUGUUUACCAAAAACACAGCAGCGUGCUAAGCCGUAAGGCGCUGUAUACGCUGUGACUCCUGCCCGGUGCUGGAAGGUUACGGGGAUGGGUUAGUCCUUCGGGACGAAGCUCUGAACCUAAGCCCCAGUAAACGGCGGCCGUAACUAUAACGGUCCUAAGGUGGCGAAAUUCCUUGUCGGGUAAGUUCCGACCUGCACGAAUGGAGUAACGACUUCCCUACUGUCUCAACCAUAGACCCAGCGAAAUUGAAGUACGAGUAAAGAUGCUCGUUAGCUGCAGAAGGACGGAAAGACCCCGUGGACCUUUACUAUAACUUGAUGUUGUGUUUUGUCAUAUGUUGUGUAGGAUAGGUGGGAGACAAGGAAGCAUGGACGCUAGUCUGUGUGGAGUCAUCGUUGAAAUACCACCCUGCAUAUGGUGAGGCUCUAACCUAGACCCGUUAUCCGGGUUGGGGACAGCGUCAGGCGGGUAGUUUAACUGGGGCGGUUGCCUCCUAAAGAGUAACGGAGGCGCCCAAAGGUUCCCUCAGCCUGGUUGGCAAUCAGGCGUCGAGUGCAAUGGCAAAAGGGAGCUUGACUGCGAGACCUACAAGUCGAGCAGGAGCGAAAGCUGGGCAUAGUGAUCCGGCGGUUGCGUGUGGAAGCGCCGUCGCUCAACGGAUAAAAGGUACCCCGGGGAUAACAGGCUAAUCUUGCCCAAGCGUCCAUAGCGACGGCAAGGUUUGGCACCUCGAUGUCGGCUCAUCGCAUCCUGGGGCUGAAGCAGGUCCCAAGGGUUGGGCUGUUCGCCCAUUAAAGCGGUACGCGAGCUGGGUUCAGAACGUCGUGAGACAGUUCGGUCCCUAUCCUCUGUAGCCGUAGGUGAAUUGAGGAAAGCUGUCCCUAGUACGAGAGGACCGGGACGGACGCAGCUCUCGUGUGCCAGUUGUCCUGCCAAGGGCAUGGCUGGUUAGCGACCUGCGGAAAGGAUAACCGCUGAAAGCAUCUAAGCGGGAAGCCUCUUCCAAGAUGAAUUCACCCACAGGGUUAACCUGGUAAGGCCCGUGGUAGACCACCACGUUGAUAGGCCGGAAGUGUAAGCGUGGCAACACGUUCAGCUGACCGGUGCUAA